GAUGAACGCUGGCGGCGCGCCUAACACAUGCAAGUCGAACGAUUAAAGCACCUUCGGGUGUGUAUAAAGUGGCGAACGGCUGAGUAACACGUGGGCAACCUGCCCCUUUCAUUGGGAUAGCCACGGGAAACCGUGGAUAAUAUCGAAUACUUCGAGACUUCCGCAUGGAAGACUCGAGAAAGCUCCGGCGGAGAGGGAUGGGCCCGCGGCCUGUUAGCUUGUUGGUGGGGUAACGGCCUACCAAGGCAAUGAUGGGUAGCUGGGUUGAGAGACCGACCAGCCAGAUUGGGACUGAGACACGGCCCAGACUCCUACGGGAGGCAGCAGUGGGGAAUCUUGCACAAUGGGCGAAAGCCUGAUGCAGCGACGCCGCGUGCGGGAUGAAGGCCUUCGGGUUGUAAACCGCUUUCAGCAGGGACGAGGCGAAAGUGACGGUACCUGCAGAAGAAGCCCCGGCUAACUACGUG
rnacentral:rRNA from 1 species